GCGACUGUAGCUCAGUGGAUAGAGUAUUGGCCUCCGAAGCCAAGGGUCGUGGGUUCGAUCCCCGCCAGUCGCGCCA
rnacentral:tRNA from 3 species